rnacentral:ncRNA from 1 species
AAAAGUUUGAUUCUUGCUUGUAUUUUUGUUUUAUGGUUGUUUAUACAUGUAUAUUAUGAUGUGGGUGUAAUGAGGAGUUUAAAAUUCUUUAUUUUGAAAGCAGAUGUUAUUAGAUCGCAGUAUGAAGUAUUAUGUAUUGAGUUUGAGCUCGAUUUAGUAAAUUAUAAUAAGCUUGAUUAAAUUUUGUGCCAGCAGUCGCGGUUAGACUUAAAAGUUGAGUGAAAAUAUUUUAGUUUGGGUUAUCAAGAUUAUAGUCUUAAUUUGGUUUUUUGAUAAUAAAAGGUAAAAUUGGUUUAUUAGGAGAAAAUUCAAGUUUUGGCCCUAAGAUAGAGAAGCCUGUCAGAUUAAGGUAUAAACUAGGAUUAGAUACCCUAUUAUACUUAGGGAGAAUAAGUAACUACUUGAAUAUUAAGAGUUAUGAGCUUUAAAUUCAGAGAAUUUGGCGGUAUUUUAGUCUUGUUAGAGGAACCUGUUCUGUAAGCGAUACUACACGUAGAAUCUUACUUACUUUUGUUUUUCAGCUUGUAUACCGUCAUUAUUAGAUAACCCUUAUUGGGUUAGUUAUUGAACUAUAAAAAAUUAAAUAUAUUAGAUCAAGGUGCAGUUAAUGGGUAAGAAGAAAUGGGUUACAUUGAAAUUUAUUUAGACGGAUUGGAAGUUGAAAGGUUUCUAUAAAGGAGGAUUUAAUUGUAACAUAAGUUUAAUAAGUUUAUGUGAUAUGAGAACUAAAAUAUGUACAUAUCGCCCGUCGCUUCCAUUUAAGGUGGAAUAAGUCGUAACAUAGUAGGUGUACUGGAAGGUGCACCUAGAAUUAAU